rnacentral:rRNA from 1 species
GGACAACCUGCCCUCGGGAGGGGGAUAACCCCGGGAAACUGGGGCUAAACCCCCAUAGGUGAUGGAUACUGGAAUGUUCCAUCACCGAAAGUCCGCAAGGAGCCCGAGGAUGGGUCUGCGGCGGAUUAGGUAGUUGGUGGGGUAACGGCCCACCAAGCCUAAGAUCCGUACGGGCCAUGGGAGUGGGAGCCCGGAGAUGGACCCUGAGACAAGGGUCCAGGCCCUACGGGGCGCAGCAGGCGCGAAACCUCCGCAAUGCGGGAAACCCCGACGGGGUCAGCCGGAGUGCCGAUGCUUGCAUCGGCUGUCGGGGAGCCUAAAAAGCUCCCCAUAGCAAGGGCCGGGCAAGGCCGGUGGCAGCCGCCGCGGUAAUACCGGCGGCCCGAGUGGCGGCCACUAUUAUUGGGCUUAAAGCGUCCGUAGCCGGGUUGGUUAGUCUCCCGGGAAAUCUGGCCGCUUAACGGUCAGAAUUCCGGGAGAUACUGCCAGCCUAGGGACCGGGAGAGGCCGAGGGUAUUCCCGGAGUAGGGGUGAAAUCCUAUAAUCCCGGGAGGACCACCUGUGGCGAAGGCGCUCGGCUGGAACGGGUCCGACGGUGAGGGACGAAGGCCAGGGGAGCAAACCGGAUUAGAUACCCGGGUAGUCCUGGCUGUAAACGAUGCGGACUUUGUGUCGGACAAGCUAUGAGCUUGUCCGGUG